GAUGAGCAUGCGUCCCAUUAGCUAGUUGGUAAGGUAACGGCUUACCAAGGCUACGAUGGGUAGGGGUCCUGAGAGGGAGAUCCCCCACACUGGUACUGAGACACGGACCAGACUCCUACGGGAGGCAGCAGUGAGGAAUAUUGGACAAUGGGCGCAAGCCUGAUCCAGCCAUGCCGCGUGCAGGAUGACGGUCCUAUGGAUUGUAAACUGCUUUUAUACGAGAAGAAACAUCCCGACGUGUCGGGACUUGACGGUAUCGUAAGAAUAAGGAUCGGCUAACUCCGUGCCAGCAGCCGCGGUAAUACGGAGGAUCCAAGCGUUAUCCGGAAUCAUUGGGUUUAAAGGGUCCGUAGGCGGUUUAAUAAGUCAGCGGUGAAAGCCCAUCGCUCAACGGUGGAACGGCCAUUGAUACUGUUAAACUUGAAUUAUUAGGAAGUAACUAGAAUAUGUAGUGUAGCGGUGAAAUGCUUAGAGAUUACAUGGAAUACCAAUUGCGAAGGCAGGUUACUACUAAUGGAUUGACGCUGAUGGACGAAAGCGUGGGUAGCGAACA
rnacentral:rRNA from 1 species